UACGUAGGUGGCAAGCGUUGUCCGGAUUUACUGGGCGUAAAGAGCGCGCAGGCGGUCGUUCAAGUCGCGUGUGAAAGCCCCCGGCUCAACUGGGGAGGGUCACGCGAUACUGAUCGACUCGAAGGCAGGAGAGGGUAGUGGAAUUCCCGGUGUAGUGGUGGAAAUGCGUAGAUAUCGGGAGGAACACCGGUGGCGAAGGCGGCGAUCCUGGACCGGCAUUGACGCUGAGGCG
rnacentral:rRNA from 1 species